rnacentral:rRNA from 1 species
CCUACGGGAGGCAGCAGUGGGGGAUAUUGCACAAUGGGGGAAACCCUGAUGCCGCGACGCCGCGUGAGUGAAGAAGUACUUCGGUAUGUAAAGCUCUAUCAGCAGGGAAGAAAAUGACAGUACCUGACCAAGAAGCUCCGGCCAACUACGUGCCAGCAGCCCAGGUAAUACGUAGGGGGCAAGCGUUAUCCGGAUUGACUGGGUGUAAAGGGAGCGUAGACGGUUAUGUAAGUCUGGAGUGAAAGCCCGGGGCCCAACCCCGGGACUGCAUUGGAAACUGUGUGAGUGGAGUACAGGAGGGGAGAGUGGAAUUCCUGGUGUAGCGGUGAAAUGCGUAGAUAUCAGGAGGAACACCGGUGGCGAAGGCGGCCUGCUGGACUGUAACUGACGUUGAGGCUCGAAAGCGUGGGGAGCAAACAGGAUUAGAUACCCCUGUAGUC